GGGUUAUGGCUCAGUGGUAGAGUACUUGCCUAGCAUGCAUGAGGCACUGAGUUUGAUCCUUAACACCA
rnacentral:tRNA from 1 species